rnacentral:rRNA from 1 species
GACGAACGCUGGCGGCGUGCUUAACACAUGCAAGUCGAACGGAAAGGCCCUGCUUUUGUUGGGUGCUCGAGUGGCGAACGCGUGAGUAACACGUGAGUAACCUGCCCUUGACUUUGGGAUAACUUCAGGAAACUGGGGCUAAUACCGGAUAUGAGCUCCUGCUGCAUGGUGGGGGUUGGAAAGUUUCGGCGGUUGGGGAUGGACUCGCGGCUUAUCAGCUUGUUGGUGGGGUAGUGGCUUACCAAGGCUUUGACGGGUAGCCGGCCUGAGAGGGUGACCGGCGACAUUGGGACUGAGGGACGGCCCAGACUCCUACGGGAGGCAGCAGUGGGGAAUAUGGCGCAAUGGGCGGAAGCCUGAUGCAGCAACGCCGGGUGCGGGAUGACGGCCUUCGGGUUGUAAACCGCUUUCGCCGGUGACGAAGCGUGAGUGACGGUAAUGGGUAAAGAAGCAACGGCUAACUACGUG